CUUAAAUUCACUUUGCAUAAUAUUUUCAGGACAUAUCUUUUAUAAAAUACAAAUCAUGUCUAUCAAUUCCAUUGUAUAAAUCCUUUGUUUCCAAUUUACUAUGGAAACCAAUUCAAAAUUCUUAAAAUGGCCUACAAUACCCAUUACAAUCUGGCUCUCCCUACUUCUUUAAUCUCACCCCUUAGCACAGUGCCCUAUAUUCUCUCAGCUUUCACUAUAAUUCCAUGAAUAUUCCAAACCAUCUGCUGGAAAUGCUCUCCCAGGUUAUUAAGACCUAGGUAAUCAGCAUGUAUUGUUCAGAGGUCAGCAUUAAUACCAUCUCCUUAGAGAAGCCAUGCUGAUUGCUUAUGACAUAAUUUGCCACUACAUUCUUGAUCUUGGUAGUUUUUGCUUUGUAUUAGUUUUUAAUUUUUUAAUGUUUAUUUAUUUCUGAGAGAGAGACAGAGACAGAGUGCAAGCAGGAGAAGGGCAGAGAAAGAGAGAGAGAUGGAAUCUGAAGCAGGCUUCAGGCUCUGAGACUGGAGCACAGGCUCUGUCAGCACAGUCUGAUGUGGGGCUUGAACUCAGGAACCACGAGAUCAUGACCUGAGCCAAAGUCAGACACUUAACCCACUGAGUCACCUAGGCUUCCUGGAUCUUGGUAGUUUUUAAAAUUCAUAACAAUUGAGUAUGUUAUUCACAGUUUUGCUUAAUUCCCAAUUUCCCAUUCUAUUGCAAGCUCCAUGAAGACAUGAAAUCAUGCCAAGCCUGAUCACCUGAAUGCCUCAAAAUAUCUGCUGCAAUGCCUGAUAUCUAGCAAAGACCCAAAUGUUUGAUAAUUGAAUGAACAGAAACAAUCAACGAACAAUUGUUAGAGCCAAGUCUAUGUUCCCCAACUGAUAUUUCAAUUUUAUGAAGUCCAUUCAAAAUUCCAGCUGCUGAGAGGAAAUUUGAGUAAUGUCUCUUGGAAGAAGCAAGUACCAUCCUGCCACAAAGCCCUCAUCAAGACAUCUCAAGCUCCCCAGAGUGGUUCUCCUUCCUCCAUCCCUUUUUCACUCUACUUGGCCUGGUGAACCCCAAAUCACCCUCAAGUCUGCAAACACUUUGCAUGAGGAAGAUCCCUCUUUAUAAGUGUAAUUUAAUAAUUAUUUGCAUAAUCUGUCAUUUAGUGUCUGUUGUUUAAGCUACACUAUAGCUCAGUGGAAGCAAAUCACUAGCAUUUAGAAGUGCCCAACCAACAUUUUUAGGGGUGCAUAGGUGGCUCAGUUGGUCGAGUAUCUGACUUUUGAUUUCGGCUUGGGUUGUGAUCUCAUGGUUCAUGAGUUCAAGCCCCGUGUUGGGCUCACACUGAGAGUGUAGAGCUGCUUGGGAUUCUCUGUCUCCCUCUCUCUCUCUGCACCCCCCCCCCACCUUGAGGACACACAUGCCUGCUCUCUCUCUGUCUCCCGAUAGAUAAAUAAGCUUAAAGAAAUAAAACCGAAGUGCCCGAUCA
rnacentral:lncRNA from 1 species